rnacentral:tRNA from 1 species
GGGCUCUUAGCUCAGUUGGUUAGAGCAUCGCCUUGAUAAGGCGGGGGUCGGAGGUUCAAGUCCUCCAGGGCCCACCA